GCUCAGGAUGAACGCGGGCGGCGUGCUUAAUACAUGCAAGUCGAACGGAGAGUUUUGUAGUAAUACGAAACUUCUCAGUGGCGAACGGGCGAGUAACGAGUUGGUGACCUGCCCCGAAGUGUGGGAUAACAGUCCGAAAGGAUUGCUAAUACCGCAUGUGAUUAUCGGUUUUAGAAUCUGAUAAUUAAAGCAGUAAUGCGCUUCGGGAGGGACCUGCUUCCCAUCAGCUAGUUGGUGAGGUAAUGGCCCACCAAGGCUACGACGGGUAAGGGACCUGAGAGGGUGGUCCCUCGCAAUGGCACUGAAACACGGGCCAUACACCUACGGGUGGCAGCAGUAGGGAAUAUUGGGCAAUGGGCGAAAGCCUGACCCAGCAACGCCGCGUGCACGAUGAAGGCCUUCGGGUCGUAAAGUGCUUUUCUGAGGGAUGAGUAAGGACAGUACCUCAGGAAUAAGCCUCGGCUAACUACGUGCCAGCAGCCGCGGUAAAACGUAGGAGGCAAGCGUUAUCCGGAUUUACUGGGCGUAAAGCGUGUGCAGGUGGUUCGGCAAGUUGGAUGUGAAAGCUCCUGGCUUAACUAGGAGAGGUCGUUCAAUACUACCGAACUUGAGGGCAUCAGAGGAAGGUGGAAUUCCCGGUGUAGUGGUGAAAUGCGUAGAUAUCGGGAGGAACACCAGUGGCGAAGGCGGCCUUCUGGGAUGUUCCUGACACUCAUACACGAAAGCUAGGGUAGCGAACGGGAUUAGAGACCCCGGUAGUCCUAGCAGUAAACGAUGUAGACUUGGUGUCGGAGGUGUCAAAACCUUCGGUAUCGUAGCUAACGCGAUAAGUCUACCGCCUGGGGACUACGGCCGCAAGGUUAAAACUCAAAU
rnacentral:rRNA from 1 species